UCCUGGUGUCCUGGAAGACCGCUAUUAAUCGCAGAAUUUCCCCAGCUCUGAUUGUAGUCUUCGUAUAAUGAGCUCGCAGAUUACCGUUUUCUAUUGGUGAAGUUGUUGAGAUAAAGAAUAUAAUAUUUCAAGUGAGCUGUUUCUGGAUGUAAAUAUUGCAGAUUUGGAAAGGUAUCAACAAUUGGCUGUUACAAAAUGACUGAACUCAGUAAUUCUAUUCACACCGACUAUUGAAUUGUUCUUACUCACCCAUUUUCGAGUGAGUCAAAAUGUACGCUCGCAAAGGUGCAGCCAAAAGGAAUGCAGGUACUCCUGCUCGAACCAGAGAGUCUACUCUUCUGUAAACUCUCGCAUUACCCGUUGUAUUGUUGCCAGAUAUCACAGAAAACCAUCCUGAAAUAAACAAAAAAAAAUAAAUUUGAGUUUUAAUUAUAAAUAUAGCAUGAGAAAAGUUUGAUCAAAUUUCGCUUUUGAACGUCGAUUGAAUUCAAAUUGAUGGAUUACCUAUUUUACC